CCAGACUCCUACGGGAGGCAGCAGUGGGGAAUAUUGCACAAUGGGGGGAACCCUGAUGCAGCGACGCCGCGUGGGUGAAGGAGCACCUCGGUGCGUAAAGCCCUAUCGGCAGGGAAGAAACAGACGGUACCUGACUAAGAAGCCCCGGCUAACUACGUGCCAGCAGCCGCGGUAAUACGUAGGGGGCAAGCGUUAUCCGGAUUUACUGGGUGUAAAGGGAGCGCAGACGGCAGUGCAAGUCUGGAGUGAAAGCCCGGGGCCCAACCCCGGAACUGCUCUGGAAACUGUGCGGCUAGAAUACUGGAGGGGCAGGCGGAAUUCCUAGUGUAGCGGUGAAAUGCGUAGAUAUUAGGAGGAACACCAGUGGCGAAGGCGGCCUGCUGGACAGUAACUGACGUUGAGGCUCGAAAGCGUGGGGAGCAAACAGGAUUAGAUCCCCUGGUA
rnacentral:rRNA from 1 species